CACAGCAGAGAGAAACCACGACAUCACAAAGCAAAGGCGAAGGGAGCAGCUCAGGGUGUCACAGUCCCCAUCAAAGGCACCGCCUACGCAGUCCCACUUCCAAAGGUUUUUCAGCCCCUCCCAGCCCAGUAAUGCCACCCUGGGGACCAGACUUCAACGCAUGGGAGACAUACCUACUCCUAGAAACGCGAGCUUCAGCAGGGGCCGUGUUUGUCGCCUGAGAGACCUGGGGAUUCAUCCAAGCUCUGUCACCGACUCUCCGCAAGUCUCAGUUUCCUCCUGAGGACAGUCCUGAUGGUGGGGCCCGAAAGACCAGGGAGUGAGGACAAUGAGCCUCUCUCCUGAGAAGCUGGCACGCGCCAAUCAAAGUCUGGCUGUGAAUGCAGACGUCAAACCCUGCCUCCACCCUGGAGCCCUUCUGCUUCCUUCUCAGCUGAUGUAAAAGCAAAUGGCGCUGGGUAUGAGCCUUCCUCACAUCAGCACAACAAGAUGCUUAGUCAAUCAAAUAGCUGAGCCGAGCGAACGCAGCGUGCGGCUCCUCGAAGAGGGUUCUUUCCAGGGGAAAUGUUAUCAUUUUCCAUUCCUGUUUAAUGAAUCAUGGGAAUUACA